ensembl:misc_RNA 7SK 7SK RNA
AAUUGUUGGAAAAAUUAUUUAUUUUCCUACUGGAUAUAGCCAUCUGUCAAAAGAUGGCUACUUGAGGAGAGGUGAAGAAGCUCCCCUGCUAAAAUCUCCAGACAAGCUCUCAGGGUCCAUUUGUGGGAGAACUUGAGCUACUCAAGCUUCCAAGCCUCCAGACACAUCCAGGUGGGGCUCUGCACGUGGCAAUCUGCCUGGCUUU